AUAAGGGAAAAAAGCACCGAAAGCAUUCUCUUUCAGAUGAUCAUACAAACAAAAAGCUUUGAAAAGCAAUCAGGCUAAACAGGUCGGCUACAACUAGAUUGACAAGUUCAACACAUGACAAGAAUUUUCUUUCCCAUGGACAUUGAAGCAAGCAGAUGUGAGCAUCAAAGAAAACAACAAGAGUCUACAAGAACCCACAAAAAACUUGAGGUCAGAACCUUAAUUGCAAAAGACAGCCACCCAUCAAAGAGACUUACUCAUGCAUUAUCCUUAAAGAUUUCA